rnacentral:rRNA from 1 species
UGCAGCCGCGGUAAUUCCAGCCCCAAUAGCGUAUAUUAAAGUUGUUGCAGUUAAAAAGCUCGUAGUUGAAUUUCGGGAUCAAUAUGUCGGUCGUGCCUUCGGUACGUACUGGUAUCAUUGGUCUCUCCUUUCUGACGAACCAUGAUGUCAUUAAUUUGGUGUUAUGGGGAGUUAGGACUGUUACUUUGAAAAAAUUAGAGUGUUUAAAGCAGGCUUUAGCUUGAAUACAUUAGCAUGGAAUAAUGAAAUAGGACGUUCGAACCUAUUUUGUUGGUUUCUAGGAUCAACGUAAUGAUUAAUAGGGAUAGUUGGGGGCAUUAGUAUUCAAUUGUCAGAGGUGAAAUUCUUGGAUUUAUUGAAGACUAGCUACUGCGAAAGCAUUUGCCAAGGAUGUUUUCAUUAAUCAAGAACGAAAGUUAGGGGAUCGAAGACGAUCAGAUACCGUCGUAG